rnacentral:lncRNA from 1 species
CUAGUGAUCAAGUAUAUGCUGUGUCUCAGUCUAUGCUUGGAUGACUGUAGACCUCUUCUUCUCACACUGCAGUCUGACAUUCCCAUACACCUAACUUUCCAAGAGAUCUUGGCUAUAUCCUUGCAAAUAGCUCCUUUAAAAAAAUCAUAGCAAAGCUGGGCAUGGUGGCUCACGCUUGUAAUCCCAGCACUUUGGGAGGCCAAGGCAGGCAGAUCACAAGGUCAGGAGAUCGUAGCCAUCCUGGCUAACAUAGUGAAACCCCGUCUCUACUAAAAAUACAAAAAAAAUUAGCCAGGCAUGGUGGCGGGCACCUGUAGUCCCAGCUACUAGGGAGGCUGAGGCAGGAGAAUUGCUUGAACCCCGGAGGCGAAGGUUGCAGUGAGCCAAAAUCGCACCACUGCACUCCAGCCUGGGCAACAGAGCAAGACUCCGUCUCAGAAUAAAAAAAAAUGGUAGCAGGGGCCCAGCGCAGUGGAUCAUGCCUGUAAUCCCAGAACUUUAGGAGGCCGAGGUGGAGGUCAGGAGUUCGAGACCAGCCUGGCCAACACAGUGAAACCCUGUCUCUACUAAAAUUACAAAAAUUAGCCAGGUGUGGUGGUGCAUGCCUGUAAUCCCAGCUACUCGGGAGGCUGAGGCAGGAGAAUCACUGGAACCCGGGAGGCGGAGGUUGCAGUGAGUCGAGAUCGUGCCACUGCACUCCAGACUGGGGCCACAGAGUAAGACUCCAUCUCGGGAAAAAAAAAAAUGGUAGCAGUGUUGGAGGGACCCUAACCUACAGUCUCUCUGAACCACAGGAAUGACUAUUGGUCUAUUAUAUGCAGAAAGCUGUCACAGGCUAGUGGGCAUUAGCUUGACUAUAAUGGCCCUAUUAGUUGCUCUAAAACACAAGAAAAUCCCCACUCCAUCAGGUGUAAAGAGCUUAGUUUCCAAAGUUAAUCCUGAAAGACAUAAUCAACAUUCACACUGACAGUGUCUUUCCUGAUAUCUUAAGUCUACAGGCUAUUAAAAGCCAGCAGCUACAACACAUGGCACAUUGGUCAGAUUCUAAGAUUCUAGUGAAUUCAGACUUAAAUAAUUUUGUGAGCAUGUUUACCCUAUCUGCUUAUAUGAUAUAAACAGAGAAUGUGUGUAAUAGACUGGGGUAAAAACACCCUGGAAUUUACUGUUCUAGGCUUAGGUACUUUAUAGUUUUGGACCUUAGAGAAAAAUUAUUUAACCCUCGUGGCUUUAGUUUCCCCAUCUGUAAAAAUGACAAUAGUAAUCCUUAAGCUUCAUAGUUCUGCUAUUAGGGAAAAAGCAUCUCAUUGUAGCCAUGUGUGCAUGAGAAAAAGUCAUGAAAUAGCAUACAAAAGUAAGGGAAUAUACUAAUUAUCUUUCUAAAAACACACUGCAGCAUGAUCUUCGGAA